rnacentral:rRNA from 2 species
CUCCUGGAAACGGGUGGUAAUGCCGGAUGUUCCACAUGAGCGCAUGCGAGUGUGGGAAAGGCUUUUUGCGGCAUGGGAUGGGGUCGCGUCCUAUCAGCUUGUUGGUGGGGUAACGGCCUACCAAGGCGUUGACGGGUAGCCGGCCUGAGAGGGCGACCGGCCACAUUGGGACUGAGAUACGGCCCAGACUCCUACGGGAGGCAGCAGUGGGGAAUAUUGCACAAUGGGCGCAAGCCUGAUGCAGCGACGCCGCGUGCGGGAUGGAGGCCUUCGGGUUGUAAACCGCUUUUGUUCAAGGGCAAGGCACGGUUUCGGCCGUGUUGAGUGGAUUGUUCGAAUAAGCACCGGCUAACUACGUGCCAGCAGCCGCGGUAAUACGUAGGGUGCAAGCGUUAUCCGGAUUUAUUGGGCGUAAAGGGCUCGUAGGCGGUUCGUCGCGUCCGGUGUGAAAGUCCAUCGCUUAACGGUGGAUCCGCGCCGGGUACGGGCGGGCUUGAGUGCGGUAGGGGAGACUGGAAUUCCCGGUGUAACGGUGGAAUGUGUAGAUAUCGGGAAGAACACC